rnacentral:rRNA from 1 species
GAUGAACGCUCGCUACAGGCUUAACACAUGCAAGUCGAGGGGCAGCAUGACCUAGCAAUAGGUUGAUGGCGACCGGCGCACGGGUGAGUAACACGUAUCCAACCUGCCGAUUAUUCCGGGAUAGCCUUUCGAAAGAAAGAUUAAUACUGGACAGCAUAACGAGAAGGCAUCUUCUUGUUAUUAAAGAAUUUCGAUAAUCGAUGGGGAUGCGUUCCAUUAGUUUGUUGGCGGGGUAACGGCCCACCAAGACAUCGAUGGAUAGGGGUUCUGAGAGGAAGGUCCCCCACAUUGGAACUGAGACACGGUCCAAACUCCUACGGGAGGCAGCAGUGAGGAAUAUUGGUCAAUGGACGAGAGUCUGAACCAGCCAAGUAGCGUGAAGGAUGACUGCCCUAUGGGUUGUAAACUUCUUUUAUAUGGGAAUAAAGUGGGCCACGUGUGGCUUUUUGUAUGUACCAUACGAAUAAGGAUCGGCUAACUCCGUG